CCUGAAAGUCGCGAGCCGAUGCGCGCCGCGGCCACCGCUACCCCUUCGAAUUUAGCAUCGCGUCCGUUCCAUUAUUUUCUGGCGAGGAAAUUUAGCCCCCGUCCGCUUAACAAUUUUCGCGGUUUGGUAAUGGACCUGCAGAGAAAUUUCUGAUAUCAUCUAAAUCCAGGUUAAUCCGCAGAAUUACAGAAUUAUGGAGAAUUAUAGACUAAUACUCCUCAUUUCUGAUUACGCCAGCCAUGAGGUUUUAAUUGGUUCGAUCGGCCGUUCGCGCGUAUCUGUCAUUAGAUAGCAUCAUGUGAGAUGUACAGUACGGUCCAGAAGUUCGCGUACGCGGCUGGUGCCAGUGAAGUAGAAGCCUUUUAUAUGCAUGUCGUGUUUACAAAUUUGUGAACGAUAACGUGAUCGACAAACAGACCUUAUCGCAAAUGGAGCCCGUGAUUUUGAGAGAAAUCGGCCGGAGAAAAACCUCCUCGUCAAGCUCGAUAAAUUCGAGCGAUAACGCGAGAGUAAAUCGCACGGAAAGAUGCGUCUGUCAAUUUGCAGUUAAUCUCGCAUAACUAAUAGAAAGCGCGUGCCAAAGAAACGAUAAUCCGCUCGUUCUCGUAUCCGUUUAAACGCGCGACCCAGAAGAUCUCGCGCUCGAGAUAUCUCCCACGAGAGAUCACAAACAAAUGGAAAUCUAUAUAUGCGAGUUAGAUUUAGAAAUUCUACGGUAGAAUUAGCCAGAAAUUACCGCGUUCACGGUCGAUUUCUUUCCCAAAUGACUCUGGAAAUAAAAUUAAACUCGAGCUCGCUGUAUCGAAAAUCGGAGUGGCAGUUUCGCUGAUUAAAAGUUCAACCCACGUACAUAGAUCGAUAAUCAACGGUAUAAUUUAUGCGAUUCGCCCGAAAACGCAUUAUAAAAGGGACGGCAACGCGUCUUCCCGCAAAGAAUAUUCGCGUUCUACUCGAAAGUUGAAAACCGCUUGGCGGCGGGCCAGGGCUCACGUAACUACUUGUUUUGCCAAAGCUACGCGACGCCUGCUGCCGGCCUUCGCCUUCCGCCACAACGGCGCGGCAUAGUCAGUCGAUUUUCGAAAAAGGUUAACACCUAGUCGCCCGGAUCCGACCGCGACGACCACGUGGCAGCGGACGCGCCUGCGUGUCCCGCUCUCUCUCGCAACCUUACUCGGAAAUUUCUUCUCAGUCUUCUCGUAGCUAUCGGUCGACGCGAUGCUUCCGCCGCGAAAAACGUUUCUGCCUGCGGACGGGAGAGCGAACGGCGAACGAGCGUGGAGUGCGAAAGAGCCGGCUCGCCGAACGAAACGCCAGGAUCUGAGAAGCACGAAACCGUAAGCUCGCACAGUUGUCACGAAUUAGAACUGCGACAAACGCGUGCCACGAACUGUGCUGGACAUUAAACCCCCGAGGGUUAACGCCACUCCUGUGAGUACAAACGCGGGAACUUUGGUCGAAGAACGAGAAAUAUUUUGAUUGCUGCUGUGUAAACGAGGACUUCACACGUGGGACACUAACCCUUCCCGCCGACAAAGACAGACUAUACAGAGACAAUGUUUUCCCAUUUGCAGGUAGACGACAAGUGUCUCGAAAAAAGAAUCAUAGAUACGAGAUCUAUAGAUACGUAUGUACGCGUACCGUGCGAGCGAAUGGGAAAAAAAUCUUCAAUCAAAAAAUACGAUCUCGCGUUUUUUUUCGAUCAACAUUUUUUUUUUUUGAAAACUGAAACUUGUAUUUGCAAUGAAUAGUUUAAUUUUUAAACACAUAUUUGCCGCGAAACAUGAAAUGUUUAACUACGGUAUAUGUAAAUAAAUGAGAUUCGGAUCGAAUUGUAGAACGAUUUUUAAUUUAUAUAUAUUGUACGUACAAAUUUAAUAAAAUGUGAAUUUAUAUUCGCGCAGAAGCGAAUAAUUUUUUAAUUUAUAUUAUCUGCAAAGCUUUUAAUAUUUAAUUAAUAAACGCAUGAAUAAGUAAAAUCUGAAUUCAUGUGACCGGCCCAUUAAUUUUUCAUUUAUAUAUUUUCCAGUAAAUAGAGAUGGUGCUUACAUUUGCAAUGGAUAUUUUAAUUUUUAAAUACGUUAGAAAU